UUGGAGGGCAAGUCUGGUGCCAGCAGCCGCGGUAAUUCCAGCUCCAAUAGCGUAUAUUAAAGUUGUUGCAGUUAAAAAGCUCGUAGUUGAAUUUCGGGGUUAGUAAGUUGGUCAUGCCUCUGGUAUGCACUGGCUUUACUGAUUCCUCCUUCUUGAUGAACUGUAAUGUCAUUAAUUUGGUGUUGCAGGGAAUCAGGACUGUUACUUUGAAAAAAUUAGAGUGUUUAAAGCAGGCAUACGCUUGAAUACAUUAGCAUGGAAUAAUGAAAUAGGACGUUUGAUCCUAUUUUGUUGGUUUCUAGGAUUGACGUAAUGAUUAAUAGGGAUAGUUGGGGGCAUUAGUAUUCAAUUGUCAGAGGUGAAAUUCUUGGAUUUAUUGAAGACUAACUGCUGCGAAAGCAUUUGCCAAGGAUGUUUUCAUUAAUCAAGAACGAAAGUUAGGGGAUCGAAGACGAUCAGAUACCGUCGUAGUCUUAACCAUAAACUAUGCCGACUAGGGAUCGGAUGAUGUUAUUUUUAAUGACUCAUUCGGCGCCUUACGGGAAAC
rnacentral:rRNA from 1 species